AGUAACACACCUAAACCAACAUUCAAACCAUCUUCUGCAUCAACAUCUGCAGCUGAAUCCACAACAACCACAGGAUCAGUUCUGUCAACAUUCAAACCAUCAACUGCAACAGAUCAUGUCUCUAAAACAGGUGUUUGGUGGAGGAUCAUCUAUGUUCCUGUGGGUGUAGCAGCACUCUCAGUCAUCACUGUAUCAGUCUGGAUCUGGACCAGAACAUGAGGAGCAGAAUGAGGAAGAAGUUUUUGAAGAUCUGCCUGAUUUUCCUUCAUUGAUGUCCAGAUUUUAAAGUCAUUCUCAUCUUUCAUCACUAAGUGAUGGAAGACCAGCUUUAGAUCAUGAUGAAAAUUAAAUCAGAGGUUAAAAAAAGUGAAAUUUAACAUUUUUAGUGACUAUUG